UGGUGGCAUCAGCUUGACCCGAUAAUACAUCGCAUCCCAGGUACAAUAACACUGGGAUUGAGGAUGGGAAAAUUAAAUAACACAUUUAACACUGCAAAGGGUAUAGUAUACUCAGCGCAUAAUUAUUCAAAUUUAUCUGCCAAUAUGACUUGCAUCAUAAUGUUGACAUAUGCAUUUGUAAACAAUACAAUCAGAUGUUUUUAGUGUAAUUCAAUAUCUUUAUUUAACAACUGAAUGCAAAGGAACUGACACCAGAAUACCGGGAUCACAGGACCUCCAACCUGAACUGCAGACAUCACAAGACGUGUAUGACGCUGUUUUAAAUGUAAGUUCAAUCCUCCCGUGGGCAUUGUGGGUUAAUACAGGUCUCCAGUUCUCACUUCUGACUGUAAGAGACAACUAAAUGGAUCGGGUGGUCAAUCCAUAAAGUGUUGACUACAUGCCCAGAUAUCCGCUUUAAUGAUGUCAUGAACUAGACGUUGCACUCUUGAUUCCAGCACUAAUCUUGUCAUGACCAAAUGCUAAAGUUGAUAUUCAGCAAGUUGAAGAUAACUGACACCACCUUUAAGUAUAAGUUUCACAAAUAUGGUGAAAUAUAUAUUAUAUAUAUUAUAAGAAUGGUAUUCAGAUUUUUUUUGUUUUCACUACUGAUUAAUAUAUAGUUUAAAAAAUGGAUUUCUGUAAUAGAAUAAAGUAUUGGAAUACA